rnacentral:ncRNA from 2 species
GGGGACUGUCGCGACUGGCGUUCAGAUGGUCGACCAUCGGGGAGCGACUGACACACGGUUGGUGGCCGUACGCCUGGGCCACGACA